CCUACGGGGGGCAGCAGUGAGGAAUAUUGGUCAAUGGACGAGAGUCUGAACCAGCCAAGUAGCGUGAAGGAUGACUGCCCUAUGGGUUGUAAACUUCUUUUAUAAAGGAAUAAAACGAGGCACGUGUGCCUUUUUGCAUGUACUUUAUGAAUAAGGAUCGGCUAACUCCGUGCCAGCAGCCGCGGUAAUACGGAGGAUCCGAGCGUUAUCCGGAUUUGUUGGGUUUAAAGGGAGCGUAGAUGGGUUGUUAAGUCAGUUGUGAAAGUUUUCGACUCAACCGUAAAAUUGCAAUUGAUACUGGCAGUCUUGAGUACAGUUGAGGUAGGCGGAAUUCGUGGUGUAGCGGUGAAAUGCUUAGAUAUCACGAAGAACCCCGAUUGCGAAGGCAGCUUACUAAACUGUGACUGACAUUGAUGCUCGAAAGUGUGGGUAUCAAACAGGAUUAGAUACCCCUGUAGUC
rnacentral:rRNA from 1 species